rnacentral:misc_RNA from 1 species
UCCAAAACUCAGUAUAUCAUGCCUACAAAAUCAUAUCUAGGAACCGGAUCCAAGUACCAAUUACCAAUGAGUUUGGGGGGAAAAAACAUGCAGCCGUCGAAAGUACCUCAAAUAACAGAACUGCAAAACCAAUUUGGUAGACAGGGACAUGCCUAUGCAGCCACAACAGACGGCUUGGAUGCGGCAGCAGAAAGCCUGGAUCUCUUCUUCGCCAAGCUCUCACUCCUGCGGUCACGCUGCUCCUUAAGCCUGCUAGCGAGGAGUUUCUG